RKKCGCCCUUAGAGUUUGAUCCUGGCUCAGAACGAACGCUGGCGGCGUGCUUAACACAUGCAAGUCGAACGUGAUCCAGAGCUUGCUCUGGUGAAAGUGGCGCACGGGUGAGUAACGCGUGGAUAACCUGCCCUGGUAUCUGGGAUAACAUCUCGAAAGGGGUGCUAAUACCGGAUAAGCCUACGGGAUCUUCGGAUUCUGCAGGAAAAGGAGGCCUCUAUUUAUAAGCUUCCGUAUCAUGAUGGGUCCGCGUACCAUUAGCUAGUUGGUGGGGUAAUGGCCUACCAAGGCGACGAUGGUUAGCUGGUCUGAGAGGAUGAUCAGCCACACUGGAACUGAGACACGGUCCAGACUCCUACGGGAGGCAGCAGUGGGGAAUUUUGCGCAAUGGGGGAAACCCUGACGCAGCAACGCCGCGUGAGUGAUGAAGGCUUUCGGGUCGUAAAGCUCUGUCAGAGGGGAAGAAAUGAAACGUGCUAAUAUCACGUUUUCUUGACGGUACCCUCAAAGGAAGCACCGGCUAACUCCGUGCCAGCAGCCGCGGUAAUAC
rnacentral:rRNA from 1 species